rnacentral:rRNA from 1 species
ACGGGGUGCAGCAGGCGCGAAAACUGGCCAAUGCGCGAAAGCGUGAGCCGGCUAAUCCGAGUGACUUCCCAUCGGAAAUCUUUUGCCAAGUAUUCAACGCUUGGCGAAUAAUGAGAGGGCAAGACUGGUGCCAGCCGCCGCGGUAAAACCAGCUCUUAGAGUGGUGGGCAUGAUUAUUUGGCUUAAAGUGUGCGUAGCAGGACAGCGUAAGUCCCCCGUGAAAUGCUAGGUCUUAAGCUUAGCGCGGGCGGGGGAUACUGUGCGUCUUGGGACCGGGAUAGGUGCAAGGUAUGCAUUGGGUAGGGGUGAAAUCCGAUAAUCCAAUGCAGACCACCGGUGGCGAAGGCGUUGCACUGGAACGGGUCCGACUGUGAGGCACGAAAGCUAGGGUCGCGAGCCGGAUUAGAUACCCGGGUAGUCCUAUGCCGUAAACGAUGCUCACUAAGUGUUAGGUAAUGCAAGACGUUAUCUAGUGCCGAAGCGAAAGCGUUAAGUGAGCCGCCUGGAAGUACGUUCGCAAGAA